UACAGAGGGUGCGAGCGUUAAUCGGAAUUACUGGGCGUAAAGGGCUCGUAGGUGGCCAACUAAGUCAGACGUGAAAUCCCUCAGCUUAACUGGGGAACUGCGUCUGAUACUGGAUGGCUUGAGUUUGGGAGAGGGAUGCGGAAUUCCAGGUGUAGCGGUGAAAUGCGUAGAUAUCUGGAGGAACACCGGUGGCGAAGGCGGCAUCCUGGACCAACACUGGACACUGAUGAGCGAAAGCCAGGGAGCAAACGGG
rnacentral:rRNA from 1 species